rnacentral:rRNA from 1 species
AUUGAACGCUGGCGGCAGGCUUAACACAUGCAAGUCGAGCGGGGUGAUGGUGCUUGCACUAUCACUUAGCGGCGGACGGGUGAGUAAUGCUUAGGAAUCUGCCUAUUAGUGGGGGUCAACAUCUCGAAAGGGAUGCUAAUACCGCAUACGUCCUACGGGAGAAAGCAGGGGAUCACUUGUGACCUUGCGCUAAUAGAUGAGCCUAAGUCGGAUUAGCUAGUUGGUGGGGUAAAGGCCUACCAAGGCGACGAUCUGUAGCGGGUCUGAGAGGAUGAUCCGCCACACUGGGACUGAGACACGGCCCAGACUCCUACGGGAGGCAGCAGUGGGGAAUAUUGGACAAUGGGGGGAACCCUGAUCCAGCCAUGCCGCGUGUGUGAAGAAGGCCUUAUGGUUGUAAAGCACUUUAAGCGAGGAGGAGGCUCUUUUGGUUAAUACCCAAGAUGAGUGGACGUUACUCGCAGAAUAAGCACCGGCUAGCUCUGUGCCAGCAGCCGCGGUAA